rnacentral:rRNA from 1 species
AGUGAACGCUGGCGGUAGGCCUAACACAUGCAAGUCGAACGGCCGCACAGUAAGAGCUUGCUCUUACGGGUGGCGAGUGGCGGACGGGUGAGGAAUACAUCGGAAUCUACUUUUUCGUGGGGGAUAACGUAGGGAAACUUACGCUAAUACCGCAUACGACCUACGGGUGAAAGCAGGGGAUCUUCGGACCUUGCGCGUUUGAAUGAGCCGAUGUCGGAUUAGCUAGUUGGCGGGGUAAAGGCCCACCAAGGCGACGAUCCGUAGCUGGUCUGAGAGGAUGAUCAGCCACACUGGAACUGAGACACGGUCCAGACUCCUACGGGAGGCAGCAGUGGGGAAUAUUGGACAAUGGGCGCAAGCCUGAUCCAGCCAUACCGCGUGGGUGAAGAAGGCCUUCGGGUUGUAAAGCCCUUUUGUUGGGAAAGAAAAGCAGCAGGUUAAUACCCCGCUGUUCUGACGGUACCCAAAGAAUAAGCACCGGCUAACUUCGUG